rnacentral:rRNA from 1 species
UACGUAGGUGACAAGCGUUGUCCGGAUUUACUGGGCGUAAAGAGCGCGCAGGCGGUCGUUCAAGUCGAGUGUGAAAGCCCCCGGCUCAACUGGGGAGGGUCACUCGAUACUGAUCGACUCGAAGGCAGGAGAGGGAAGUGGAAUUCCCGGUGUAGUGGUGAAAUGCGUAGAUAUCGGGAGGAACACCAGUGACGAAGGCGACUUCCUGGCCUGUUCUUGACGCUGAGGCGCGAAAGCUAGGGGAGCAAACGGG